rnacentral:rRNA from 1 species
AGAAUCAACGCUGGCGGCGUGCCUAACACAUGCAAGUCGCACGAGAAAGGGGAGCAAUCCCUGAGUACAGUGGCGCACGGGUGAGUAACACGUGAAUAAUCUACCUCCGAGUGGGGAAUAACUGAGAGAAAUCUUAGCUAAUACCGCAUAAUACCCACGGGUCAAAGCAGCAAUGCGCUUAGAGAGGAGUUCGCGGCAGAUUAGUUAGUUGGCGGGGUAAUGGCCCACCAAGACGAUGAUCUGUAUCCGGCCUGAGAGGGCGCACGGACACACUGGAACUGAAACACGGUCCAGACUCCUACGGGAGGCAGCAGUGGGGAAUUUUCCGCAAUGGGCGAAAGCCUGACGGAGCAAUGCCGCGUGGAGGUAGAAGGCCCACGGGUCGUAAACUCCUUUUCUCAGAGAAGAAACAAUGACGGUAUCUGAGGAAUAAGCAUCGGCUAACUCUGCGCCAGCAGCCGCGGU